rnacentral:lncRNA from 1 species
AAAUAAACAAGCAGAUUUAUACAUCAGGUAGAAAUAGGUUGCAAUGAAGAAAAAUAAAGCUGAGUGAGGAGAAAGAAAUUCAUCUCUAACAUCCCAGCAAGUGAAUAAAUGUCAUUAUAUAAAAGAAACUGAAAACAGAAAAAGGUGGUAUUAUGGGUAUCUUAAAAAUGUAAGCUAACCCCAGUAAUUCAAUUUUUGAGAAGGAAAAAAUACCUCUACCUCUCUAUCUACAUGGCACCCCAAAAAGUUCCAUAUGUGGUUGAAGAACCCUUCCAUAAAAGGUGAGAAGAAUCAAGUCUCUGUGUGCUGACCCCCAUAAUCUUAACUGUAAUGGUUGGUUGGAUCCAGUUGAUGCCUAUUCUUCUCCCUGAGGUCUUUAGGAAGACAUCCAAACAAUUUCUGAGAAGAAGCGCACAUGGAAAUUGACUGUACACUGUCUCCUUGGCUGUAAACUCAAGCAUGUAGGUAAAAUAAACUACAGAAAAUAUGCCCUCUACUUCUGAUUUAAAUUUGAAUGCCCCCUCAUGAGUGAAAUGGUAAAAAUCCAGCCUGGUUACAUUCAGAGCUGCUUCUUUUCUCGUCUUGGUUCUGGGUCACCCUCUGUUGGAACUUCUUCCAUACGCAGGCCAUCAGCAUGGUCCGAAUAAUCAGAAUGAUCACAGUCCUUCCAUCAGAGCUUUAGUGCUGUCCUCCCUAAUCUGAGAGUUGUAAGCCAUCUCUCUCUACCUACACAGCAUACAGAUCAUGGUUAAUAAGAGCAAGCCCCAGGCCACUCAAGCUCCAUUCACAUCACAGGCUCAGGACACUCUCAUUUCCCUCCUGGCCUUUUCUUGUGUCUUUGGAAGGUCUACGUGGCUUCUGACUCAAGCUUUGCUGUCCAUUUUUGGUCCUAAUUCUAUCCAUUGGACUUGAAGAUUCAUCUUGUUUUCUUCACAUUAUCCCUUGGUUCACCCGGAGAUCUUUGGUUCAUAAUUAUCAUCUAUUUUUUUUCUGCCAUCCCUCCUAAAUCCCUGUAAUCAAGUUAAUUAGAUAUUUCAAAACAAACACAAUAAUAAUAACAACAGCAGCAGCAGCAGCAAUAAAAAUACUAAUAAACCUGAGUUUGACUUGGAUCUCAAUUUCAGUGGAGACCUUACUGUUUCUGUCUGCCCAGAUCUUGAUCUAUUGUAACCCACUCUCCACCACCAUGGUAGAGACCAUCCUACUAAGAGGGAAGCUCAGAGCAGUGAAGCUCUAACUCGGUAAAUACCUCUUAGAAAACUAGUCCUUAAUUUAGUCUCAUUGUCAACAAGAGCCCAUCCAGAUAAACAGGAAUUUAGACACUAUCUGCAACAAAUCCCCAGUCUUAAAC